AUUGAACGCUGGCGGCAGGCCUAACACAUGCAAGUCGAACGGUAGCACAGAGAGCUUGCUCUCGGGUGACGAGUGGCGGACGGGUGAGUAAUGUCUGGGAAACUGCCCGAUGGAGGGGGAUAACUACUGGAAAUGGUAGCUAAUACCGCAUAACGUCGCAAGACCAAAGUGGGGGACCUUCGGGCCUCACACCAUCGGAUGUGCCCAGAUGGGAUUAGCUAGUUGGUGGGGUAAUGGCUCACCCAGGCGGCGAUCCCUAGCUGGUCUGAGAGGAUGACCAGCCACACUGGAACUGAGACACGGUCCAGACUCCUACGGGAGGCAGCAGUGGGGAAUAUUGCACAAUGGGCGCAAGCCUGAUGCAGCCAUGCCGCGUGUAUGAAGAAGGCCUUCGGGUUGUAAAGUACUUUCAGCGGGGAGGAAGGCGGUGAAGUUAAUAACUUCACCGAUUGACGUUACCCGCAGAAGAAGCACCGGCUAACUCCGUGCCAGCCGCCGCCGUAA
rnacentral:rRNA from 1 species